GGGGCGCAAUGGGUCAGUGCUCCUGGCUCUUAACCUAAAGGUUGGUGGUUUGAGCCCACCCAGGGCCG